CCUACGGGAGGCAGCAGUGAGGGAUAUUGCGCAAUGGGCGAAAGCCUGACGCAGCGACGCCGCGUGGAGGAUGAAGGCCUUCGGGUUGUAAACUCCUUUUGCAGGGGACGAUGAUGACGGUACCCUGCGAAUAAGCCACGGCUAACUCUGUGCCAGCAGCCGCGGUAAGACAGAGGUGGCGAGCGUUGUUCGGAAUUACUGGGCUUAAAGGGCGCGUAGGUGGUAGUGCAAGUCUGGGGUGGAAUCCUAUGGCUUAACCAUAGAACUGCCCUGGAAACUGCAUUACUGGAGUAAGCGAGGGGAGGGUAGAAUUCCGGGGGUAGCGGUGAAAUGCGUAGAUAUCAGGAGGAAGGCCGGUGGCGAAGGCGGCCCUCUGGCGCUUGACUGACACUGAGGCGCGAAAGUGUGGGGAGCAAACAGGAUUAGAUCCCCCGGUAGU
rnacentral:rRNA from 1 species